CUAACAGACAGGUGGGGAGUAGAGGAAAUAAGAAAAGGGAAGAGAACAAAGAGGAGAAGCGAGAAAAAAUUGUGAGGGUUGUUGACAACACAAGAUUCUACAUCCCGGAUUAAGAAAAUUCAUUUCGGACACAAGGUUUUCUUACACAAUGAUCCACAGACUCGUUCCGGAAGUUAAAAUCAAACUUACAUCAGAGUUGGAAAUUACAGCCCACCUGACCACCCAAGAGGGUUUAUUUCCCAGGUGGGCGAGGACGAAAUUUCAUACAAUAGCCUGGCGAUCGGGCCAAUUCUAACAGCCAGUGUACGACAACAAGAGUCACAAAUUAGCUGAAUUAGUGAAUGAUGAACACCACAAACUGAAAAUUUGUGGAAAAUGAUAAACAUCAGGAAUGAUUAAUUCCUACUGACAACCCUGGUUCAACAAUAGCAUUACCUGUGUGACUUCAUUAGGAUUUGUUAAUCACAUGUUCGAUUGCAAAUGUUCUUUGAAUAUGCGAUGAUUAUCAGGCUAUUUUUAGAUACCAGGACAUACCUGCUACAGUACACGCAUUUCAUAAUAUAUAACCUAAACAAAUAAAAUAUGAAUUCUGUAGUAAUGGAUUUGCCUUUGAUUCUCAGACAGUAAAUGACAUAUUCAUAUAUUUAAAGGGACUGGUUCAUGAUUCUUGAAAAAAUAUUUUACAUUUUUAAUACUGUCCCCACUUUUAAAAAGGUGGAAGAUGACAAUCAGUAACUGCACAUACAAAAUAUAUACAAGUAUAACAAAGUGGAUUAACACACACUUACCCUGUUAAUUCUUCAAUAAAUCCAUUGUCACAUUUAGGGCAUGUAAAAUCCUGUAAUGAUUCAAAAUAUUUGCAUUUAUAAUUAUAUAUAUAAUAAACACACAUAUAC